UACCUCAGAAACGUUGGUAGCAUAGGAGGGGAUAACCAUCGCAGAAACUUCGGAUGUUUUUGCCUGGAUUCGAACCCAGGUGUCAUAGGCAAACAUACUAACCUCUGCACUGCAAUGGCCUUCAUGCGCCCUUCCACUAAGUUGCGAAAAUUUUUAAUAAAUCAAUUGUCUUGGGUUCCCAAGACUUAGUGCGUUUUUCCAUGUUUUGUCUUUACCAUGCAGUUCAAAUGGGGCAAAUAGAAAAAUCCAUCGGAUUCGCAUUUGGUGUUGGGCGGCCACUGUGUGCGGAACAUGAUUUGUAGCCAUUGUUGCCUUGCAUGACGUGAGAACGAUCGUCACCCAUUGCAAUGCCACAUUAGCGAUAGACCAGGGCUCUAGUGGGAAUCGAACCCAUAACCCCCACACUGGUAAUCCGAGCACGCUGCCAACACAGGUACAAGGGUGACAAACGGGAAGAAAUAACUCUUUGAAAUUUUGAAAAGCUAGACCUGAUGUUUUAGUGAAAAUAUGUGCCUAAAAUUUGCUUUGUGUGCCAGAUCUUCAUAUCUCAACAGAAAAGUCAGCUUGAGGUCUUCAAGAUCUCUUCUGGUUUCGUAGAUAUUUGACAUUCAAUAUAGUUUCUUUUGGGAACAUAGUCUUCAACAUACCACUAUCAUACAUAUAUCGUAUAAAGGCAGAUGUAAAGAGUUCUAUACCCGACCACUCCUCAAUGAUAUACAUAUCCAAAAAUGUUUGUUACAUUUGUUUUACAACAUGCUCUUCACAUAUGUGUGCAUGUACUCAAUGCUGUCAUCUCUUUUCCAUAAAUUCAUUUUAUGUUUCACUUCGAAAUUCCAAUUGUAUAAAAUUAUAUCAGCAAACAAAAACUUUUUGUUUUGCUAUCAAAAUUAUAUUCUAUGAAAUUCCUAUCGUAUCCUAGCAGGAACGAUUGUAAAACCACAAUUCCAAGUAAGUGAUAAAAAUCUCUUCAAUGCAACACGGAGCCCGGAAGACAAUGCAUGUGCCCACACUUGCUGACAGUCACCCCUCAGAGGGACACCAAAACAUGGGAAGUGACAGGUGGAAGGCCCUGUAGUGAUACGAAAGAAGAAAAAAAAACGACAAAACCAUGAUGAUGUCUACAACAUAAAAUAGUUGAGUUGAAGGAACAGUAUAACCCAUAGCCAGCCAACGACUGUAAAACUCCAAAGAUAUUUCACAACAGAAAGGAAUGUUCAAUAGAAAUUGAAUAAGAAUGAGUUCACAUAAAGAAUAAACGUUAAAGUCGUUAAGACACAAAAAUUAUAUAAGCUAAGCGCCCCAGAUGGUCUGUGUUUGUGUGUGUGGAGGGGUUGGUGGCAGCCAUUGAUUAAAAGGGCACCGCCAUUGAAUGAACAUUCACUGAAUACCUAUGGUCAUAGUGGUAGCCCAUAAAAUACCUUCCUCUACGGAAAUGCAUUCGACUGUAAAAUUAGCCCCAUUUUCUUGGAUGGUGGUGGGGCCACAAUUGAUUACACUGACACAUGGAAUUUAAGUUAAAACUUGAGACUUUAUUUAUUGAAGAGGAGACAAAUGGACAGUGUUGCCACUUUAAAUAAAAAUGCAGUUUGAUUUUCAGAAAAAAGUAAUUUGCAUAAUGAACGAAAUACAUAAUUGAACGAAACUA
rnacentral:sRNA from 1 species